AUGCACAGAAUACACUGUGACGAGGACGACGCAAACCCAGGCACUCGUGGGCGGGAAUGGGCCUGGCGUGCUCAGGGCGCCCUCCGUGCGUGGUGGGAUGAAGGUGACCGGACCCCUGCCGGACCGGUCCACUGCCCAGCAUGGCUUCUCCCGCUCACGGAUGUGUGUGAUCCACAGGUGCAAGGGCUCCAGCGGUCCCUGUCGUCGCCGUCUUCCUCGUCUGUCACAUCCUGUCAUCAUCAGGUGCCACCGGCCCCCCUCAGACCGUGUCCCAGUGGGCUCACUUCCCAUCUUCCGGGGAUCGCAGGGUCCGAGCCAGGCUCAUCUUCCCUGGGAUUCAGCCCUGGCAGUCAGGGUGGCCCCUGCACAGGUGAGUCCAAGUAUUCCUGCUGGAUUGCCCCGGCUGCUGCCAACACCGUGCCCUCAGAGACGCUGACAUCAGCGGUCAGCACUUCUGCACCCACCCGAGGACCCAGGGGGCCAAGGCAGGAGGCCGUGCUGCUGCCUGGACCCCGCGUCUUGCAUCGUAGCACUGAGUAGCGUGGGACUGGGGCCCGGGCACCUCUGCCGCUUCUGCUGUCUUUCCCACAAACACUAGAGAUCCGUGCAGCAUGACUGCAAAGUUGUCAAGAGUGACGGUCAUGGGCUGGCGCUGUGGCGCAGUGGGUUAAGGCCCUGGC
rnacentral:lncRNA from 1 species